rnacentral:lncRNA from 1 species
CGUCAGCUAUGCAUCCACCCAUAUACUGGGGUAGUAGUUCUUUAAGUAUUUUUCAUUCAGAGCCUUUGUGAACUCUUCUCCUUCAGGUGUCUCCAAAAUAUACGCGUUGCUUCGAGCACACCGGCUUAUCCAAUAUGGUCCCUCCCACGUAGGCGACCACUUUCCAAAUUUAGGAUCUUUAGACCCAAUCGGCAACACGAGCUUCCAGACCAGAUCCCCCUAGGAAAACUCUUUGACCUUGACCUUUUUGUCGUACCAUCUAGCCACCCUUUUCUUAUUUUCUUCGAUACUGAUCAAAGCCCUUAGCCGAUGACCCACUAAGUCUUCUAACUCCCCUCUCAUCAAGGUGGAGUAUUCCUUGGUUGUUAACUAAUCUUGCAACGACACACGUCUAGACCCAAUCUUUAACUCCCAAGGUAGUAUUUCUUCAUGC